AGAGUUUGAUCAUGGCUCAGAUUGAACGCUGGCGGCAUGCCUUACACAUGCAAGUCGAACGGUAACAGGUCUUCGGAUGCUGACGAGUGGCGAACGGGUGAGUAAUACAUCGGAACGUGCCCGAUCGUGGGGGAUAACGAAGCGAAAGCUUUGCUAAUACCGCAUACGAUCUACGGAUGAAAGCAGGGGACCGCAAGGCCUUGCGCGAACGGAGCGGCCGAUGGCAGAUUAGGUAGUUGGUGGGAUAAAAGCUUACCAAGCCGACGAUCUGUAGCUGGUCUGAGAGGACGACCAGCCACACUGGGACUGAGACACGGCCCAGACUCCUACGGGAGGCAGCAGUGGGGAAUUUUGGACAAUGGGCGAAAGCCUGAUCCAGCCAUGCCGCGUGCAGGAUGAAGGCCUUCGGGUUGUAAACUGCUUUUGUACGGAACGAAAAGACUCUGGUUAAUACCUGGGGUCCAUGACGGUACCGUAAGAAUAAGCACCGGCUAACUACGUGCCAGCAGCCGCGGUAAU
rnacentral:rRNA from 1 species